rnacentral:rRNA from 1 species
GACGAACGCUGGCGGCGUGCCUAACACAUGCAAGUCGAACGGAAAGGCCCUGCCUUUGUGCGGUGCUCGAGUGGCGAACGGGUGAGUAACACGUGAGUAACCUGUCCUUGACUUUGGGAUAACUUCAGGAAACUGGGGCUAAUACCGGCUAGGAGCUCCCGCUGCAUGGUGGGGGCUGGAUAGUUUCGGCGGUUGGGGAUGGACUCGCGGCUUAUCAGCUUGUUGGUUGGGUAGUGGCAUACCAAGGCCUUGACGGGUAGCCGACCUGAGAGGGUAACCGGCCACGCUACGACGGAGAUGCGACACAGCCUCGUACGGUAGGGAACGGAGGAGAGGGGUAUACAGUAGGCGGGGGCCUAGUGCGACCCAGCCGCGUGGGGGAUGACAGGCUGCGGGUAGUGAACUGCAUUCGCUUGAGACGAGGCGUGAAUGACGGUAAUGGGUGAAGAAGCACCGGCUAACUACGUG